GACGAACGCUGGCGGCGUGCUUAACACAUGCAAGUCGAACGGUGAAGCUCCAGCUUGCUGGAGUGGAUCAGUGGCGAACGGGUGAGUAACACGUGAGCAACCUGCCCCUGACUCUGGAAUAAGCGCUGGAAACGGCGUCUAAUACUGGAUACGAGAAGGGUCCGCAUGGGCACUUUCUGGAAAGUUUUUCGGUUGGGGAUGGGCUCGCGGCCUAUCAGCUUGUUGGUGAGGUAAUGGCUCACCAAGGCGACGACGGGUAGCCGGCCUGAGAGGGCGACCGGCCACACUGGGACUGAGACACGGCCCAGACUCCUACGGGAGGCAGCAGUGGGGAAUAUUGCACAAUGGACGAAAGCCUGAUGCAGCGACGCCGCGUGAGGGAUGACGGCCUUCGGGUUGUAAACCUCUUUCAGCAGGGAAGAAGCGAAAGUGACGGUACCUGCAGAAGAAGCACCGGCUAACUACGUG
rnacentral:rRNA from 1 species